GGCCUUUCGGGUCGCUUCUUUCACGGAGGGCGACGCGCUGCACCCUCCCGGUCCGCCCACCGCCCGCCUGCCCGGGGCGUCUCUUCCGCUGCGGGCGACCCCCAGCUCCGGAUGCGGCGUCGCCCCCGGGGAGGGGCCGCCCACCUCCGGGCUGCGCGGCGCCGCGGCUCACGCACGUCUGCCCUCCCGUUUCCGUUUCCGUUCUGGGGUGCGCACUGAGAUGUUCGGUCCCUUUCGUGGGUCUCUCCUUGUCGAGUCCCCCUCCAGGUCCCGGUGAGAGGCUGAGACCAGACAGCGAAGAGCGAGCGUGGCACAAGCCCUGAAGACAGCACCCGAGAGAAGCAAGCCCCCGCCCCCGGAAGUGACAGAGUGCUCUGCUGGCAGCCCCACCUCCCAAGUCACUCGGGGAACAAUCGCCUAACUUCCCCACCACGAAGCUCCGCUUACAGUGCCCACCGAGAAGUUCAAACGUGCAGUGGAUUUAAACCUCACCUCUGGCUGCAGCCAAACACCUGCCUCCACUCUGUCCCCCCAGGCCCCUUGCCCCUAUAGGAGUCACCUAGCCAGCCCCUGGCCGCUGCUCUGCCAUUGUUCGAGACAGCCCGGCACCUGUCCCCUAAUAAAGGCUUCGUCUUGG